GACGAACGCUGGCGGCGUGCUUAACACAUGCAAGUCGAACGGACAGGCCCUGCUUUUGUGGGGUGCUCGAGUGGCGAACGGGUGAGUAACACGUGAGUAACCUGCCCUUGACUUUGGGAUAACUUCAGGAAACUGGGGCUAAUACCGGAUAGGAGCUCCUGCUGCAUGUGGGGGGUUGGAAAGUUUCGGCGGUUGGGGAUGGACUCGCGGCUUAUCAGCUUGUUGGUGGGGUAGUGGCUUACCAAGGCUUUGACGGGUAGCCGGCCUGGGAGGGUGACCGGCCACAUUGGGACUGAGAUACGGCCCAGACUCGUACGGUAGGCAGCAGUGGGGAAUAUUGCACAAUGGGCGGAAGCCUGAUGCAGCAACGCCGCGUGCGGGAUGACGGCCUUCGGGUUGUAAACCGCUUUCGCCUGUGACGAAGCGUGAGUGACGGUAAUGGGUAAAGAAGCACCGGCUAACUACGUG
rnacentral:rRNA from 1 species